UGAGGAAUAUUGGUCAAUGGUCGCUAGACUGAACCAGCCAAGUAGCGUGCGGGAUGAAGGCCCUCCGGGUCGUAAACCGCUUUUAGACGGGGAUAAAAGGUCGUACGUGUACGCCGUAUUGCAUGUACCGUCAGAAAAAGGACCGGCUAAUUCCGUGCCAGCAGCCGCGGUAAUACGGAAGGUCCGGGCGUUAUCCGGAUUUAUUGGGUUUAAAGGGAGCGUAGGCGGACUUUCAAGUCAGUGGUAAAAUCGUGUGGCUCAACCAUACCUCGCCAUUGAAAACUGGAAGUCUGGAGUGCACACAGGGGUGCCGGAAUUCAUGGUGUAGCGGUGAAAUGCUUAGAUAUCAUGAAGAACUCCGAUCGCGAAGGCAAGUGCCCGGGGUGCAACUGACGCUGAGGCUCGAAGGUGCGGGUAUCGAACAGGAUUAGAUACC
rnacentral:rRNA from 1 species